GGGGGAGUGGGGUAGCCUGGCAUCCUGCGGGCUUUGGGGGCCUGUGACCCCAGUUCGAAUCUGGGCUCCCCCA
rnacentral:tRNA from 1 species